AAGAAAUUAGUUUAAAUAAAACAUUAAUUUGUCAAGUUAAAAAUACAUUAUAGUACUUCUUA
rnacentral:tRNA from 1 species